UCCUAGUUUAGCUUUGAGUUUUUGUUGUAAUGUUUGAUCAUUCGUCUUAUUCAAAAAAAUUAUGGAAUUAUUAUUUAUUUUGUUUGUGACUUGCUUUAUUAUCAAAAGUACUUUAAUGACUUAUCAUGUUUUACAUUUGCACUAAUUUUUCAAAUAAGACGAAUAGUCAAACGUUGCAAAAAAAAAGUUAAAGCGACUACUAAU
rnacentral:pre_miRNA from 1 species